rnacentral:lncRNA from 7 species
AACUUGGGGGUGUGAGGGGAAGGCCCUUUUCCUGCCUCCAGCCGGUGUGGCUCCCGGAGGCACCGAGCAUGCACGGCUUCUGUGAGCUUCAAAAUCAGGCCAUGAUCAUCGAAUCAUAAAUAUAUAAUAUUGCGCUCCUAUGAUAUUAUGAGUAGAGAGCAGGAGAGUUAAACGCAUACAUCGAGGAGAGGCAAAUUACAUGUAAAGGGCUUUACUGCACUGUCGUCAAGUGAUUCUGAAAUGAAAUAUUUUAAAAUCCCUCCAAGAAUAAAUCUAAUUCCUGCACGCCUGCUCCUGUCUUACCUAGCAGGCAAACAUGAUGAUGUCAGAGGAAGAGAUGAUUCCAUUCCAAAUUCUCCUAACCAGAGCAACCUGCAGUGCCCUCAAUCUGCAAAGUUUCAACUCAACAGGAAGUCACCACAGCUCUGCAGCUGAGCCCCAAAUAAUCCACUGCAUUGUCCUGUGCCUUUCUCCAAAUGAACUCAACAGUCUCCUGAGGCUGACACAAACAGAGCUGUCAAGUGCUGUCAGAAUGAGAAACCGCCAGUGGUGAAGCAAGAGACCAGCUUGUGAACAAAUGGCUUGGAAAACUAAUGUGAAGCCACUGCAUUAGCAAAAAACAGAGAAAGAGGGGGCUCCAGGAAAGCCACUGUCAUCCUCUGUCAGAACUUCUAUAGCAGUCUGGCGUACUCAGAAAUAUGAGGCAUAUGUCAAGCAGCAACCAACUGUCAAGUGAGGAGGGCCUUGAUUAAACCAGAAAAGCACACAGAUAACUGACUGCAGAUCUUGGAUAGCAGUAAGAAGAGGAACAACAGAAAGUAUCUCCGAUCGAGUGCCCUAAUUGGGGCUUUGAAGAAGAAAUCAGAGCCAGCUGUAGCCACUUUUGAAGGAGGAGUUCGCUUUAACGUGAGUUAUCAUAAAAUUGUUUGAGGACUUACAUCUCAUAAAACAACUCAAAAGCUUUCUCAGCUGCUGGAUUACUAUUUGCUGCUGUCUUGUGCAGGCGGAGCAGUUAAUGACUAUCCAGGAUUUCAGAUUAAAAUUGACUGGCGUAGGUCUAAAAUACCCAUGAGAAUACCUUUGUCUGAGUCGCUUGACCUUUCUGGACUGUGCAAACCUGCGAGUUCAAGAGGGUAGCAUGUUAAGACAGCAGCAAUACAAUAUAUUUGUAUGGAAC